GACGAACGCUGGCGGCGUGCUUAACACAUGCAAGUCGAACGGUCAAGCGAGUACUUGCACUCGUGGAUCAGUGGCGAACGGGUGAGUAACACGUGAGGAACCUGCCCAUCACUCUGUGAUAAGCACUCGAAACGGCGUCUAAUACUGGAUACGACCAACCCUUCCACGGGGUGUUGGUGGAAAGGUUUCUCGGUGAUGGAUGGACUCGCGGCCUAUCAGCUUGUUGGCGGGUUAAUGGCACACCAAGGCGACGACGGGUAGCCGGCCUGAGAGCGUGACCGGCCACCCUGGGCCUGAGACACGGCCCAGAAUCCUACGGGAGGCAGCAGUGGGGAAUAUUGCACAAUGGGCGAAAGCCUGAUGCAGCGACCCUGCGUGAGGGAUGACGGCUUUCGGGUUGUAAACCUCUUCCAGCAGGGAAGAAGCGAAAGUGACGGUACCUGCAGAAGAAGCACCGGCUAACUACGUG
rnacentral:rRNA from 1 species